rnacentral:tRNA from 1 species
GCGAGAAUAGCUCAGCUGGUAGAGCGCAACCUUGCCAAGGUUGAGGUCGCGGGUUCGAAUCCCGUCUUCCGCU